AGGACGAACGCUGGCGGCGUGCUUAACACAUGCAAGUCACGGGGGCCCGCAAGGGCAACCGGCGAACGGGUGCGUAACACGUGAGCAACCUGCCUUUGUGUGGGGGAUAGCCGGGCUAACGCCCGGGUAAUACCGCAUACGGUUCUCGAGGGGAGUCCCUUGGGAAAGAAACCUCCGGGGCACAGAGAGGGGCUCGCGGCCUAUCAGCUAGUUGGCGGGGUAAUGGCCCACCAAGGCGACGACGGGUAGC
rnacentral:rRNA from 1 species